rnacentral:rRNA from 1 species
GACGAACGCUGGCGGCGUGCUUAACACAUGCAAGUCGAGCGGUAAGGCCCUUUCGGGGUACGACGAGCGGCGAACGGGUGAGUAACACGUGGGUGACCUGCCUUUAGCUCUGGGAUAAGCCUGGGAAACUGGGUCGUAAUACCGGAUAUGACCCUAUGGCGCAUGUUGUGGGGUGGAAAGCCUUGUGCGGCUAGGGAGUGGGCCCGCGGCCUAUCAGCUUGUUGGUGGGGUGAUGGCCUACCAAGGCGACGACGGGUAGCCGGCCUGAGAGGGCGACCGGCCACACUGGGACUGAGACACGGCCCAGACUCCUACGGGAGGCAGCAGUGGGAAUCUUGCGCAAUGGGCGAAAGCCUGACGCAGCGACGCCGCGUGA